rnacentral:rRNA from 1 species
GGGGGAUAACUACUGGAAACGGUAGCUAAUACCGCAUAACGUCGCAAGACCAAAGAGGGGGACCUUCGGGCCUCUUGCCAUCGGAUGUGCCCAGAUGGGAUUAGCUUGUAGGUGAGGUAACGGCUCACCUAGGCGACGAUCCCUAGCUGGUCUGAGAGGAUGACCAGCCACACUGGAACUGAGACACGGUCCAGACUCCUACGGGAGGCAGCGGUGGGGAAUAUUGCACAAUGGGCGCAAGCCUGAUGCAGCCAUGCCGCGUGUAUGAAGAAGGCCUUCGGGUUGUAAAGUACUUUCAGCGGGGAGGAAGGGAGUGAGGUUAAUAACCUCAUUCAUUGACGUUACCCGCAGAAGAAGCACCGGCUAACUCCGUGCCAGCAGCCGCGGUAAUACGGAGGGUGCGAGCGUUAAUCGGAAUUACUGGGCGUAAAGCGCACGCAGGCGGUCUGUCAAGUCGGAUGUGAAAUCCCCGGGCUCAACCUGGGAACUGCAUUCGAAACUGGCAGGCUGGAGUCUUGUAGAGGGGGGCAGAAUUCCAGGUGUAGCGGUGAAAUGCGUAGAGAUCUGGAGGAAUACCGGUGGCGAAGGCGGCCCCCUGGACAAAGACUGACGCUCAGGUGCGAAAGCGUGGGGAGCAAACAGGAUUAGAUACCCUGGUAGUCCACGCUGUAAACGAUGUCGACUUGGAGGUUGUUCCCUUGAGGAGUGGCUUCCGGAGCUAACG